UACGGGGGGGGGCAAGCGUUGUUCGGAAUUACUGGGCGUAAAGGGCUCGUAGGUGGCCAACUAAGUCAGACGUGAAAUCCCUCGGCUUAACCUGGGGGCUGCGCUUGAUACGUGUGGACUGGAGUGCGGAAGAGGGUCGUGGAAUUCCCAGUGUAGAGGUGAAAUUCGUAGAUAUUGGGAAGAACACCGGUGGCGAAGGCGGCAUCCUGGACCAAUUCUGACGCUGAGGAGCGAAAGCCAGGGGAGCAAACGGGG
rnacentral:rRNA from 1 species